UACGGAGGAUGCGAGCGUUAUCCGGAUUUAUUGGGUUUAAAGGGUGCGCAGGCGGGAGAUUAAGUCGGCGGUGAAAUUUUGCAGCUCAACUGUAAAAGUGCCUUCGAAACUGGUUUCCUUGAGUGUGGAUGAAGUAGGCGGAAUUUGUGGUGUAGCGGUGAAAUGCAUAGAUAUCACGAGGAACUCCGAUUGCGCAGGCAGCUUACUAAACCAUAACUGACGCUCAGGCACGAAGGCGUGGGGAUCAAACAGGAUUAGAUACCCCUGUA
rnacentral:rRNA from 1 species